rnacentral:rRNA from 1 species
UAAGACGAAGGUGGCAAGCGUUGUUCGGAAUCACUGGGCUUAAAGGGCACGCAGGCGGGAAGGCAAGCGUCUUGUGAAAUCCCCCGGCUUAACCGGGGAAUUGCUUGGCGAACUGCCUUUCUUGAGGCAAGCAGGGGUGCGUGGAACUCUUGGUGGAGCGGUGAAAUGCGUAGAUAUCAAGAGGAACGCCAGUGGAGAAAUCGGCGCACUGGGCUUGUUCUGACGCUGAGGUGCGAAAGCGUGGGGAGCGAACGGGAUUAGAUACCCCGGUAGUCCACGCCGUAAACGAUGCCUACUAGGUUGUGGGAGUUCUGACGCUCUCGCGGCCGAAGCAAAAGUGAUAAGUAGGCCGCCUGGGGAGUACGGUCGCAAGGCUA